rnacentral:lncRNA from 1 species
AGAAUCCAAAUUUAGGAUGUUGGAAAGGAGGAAGGUUGGGGAGUGGAGGGCAGGGUUUCUUAUAGAAUGGUGGGAGUGGUUUAUAAAUUGGAAUUGGAGGUGGAAGUGGCUUUACUAUUGGAGGAAUGUAAAUUGGUGGCUUUGGCUUGUAGAUUGGAAUUGGAGGUGGAAGUGGCUUUACUAUUGGAGGGAUGUAAAUUGGUGGCUUUGGCUUGUAGAUUGGAACUGGUGGUGGUAGUGGCUUUACUACCGGGGGUAUGUAAACCGGUGGCUUUGGCUUGUAGGUUGGAACUGGUGGUGGUAGUGGCUUUAUUAUCGGAGGUAUGUAAAUCGGUGGCUUUGGCUUUGGUUUGUAGAUAGGAACUGGUGGUGGAAGAGGCUUUACUACCGGAGGUUUGUAAACUGGUGGCUUUGGCUUUGGUUUGUAGAUUGGAACUGGUGGUGGAAGCGGCUUUACUGGAGGCUUUGGCUUGUAAAUAGGGACAGGUGGAGGAAGUGGCUUUGGUUUGUAA